GCCUGGGUGGCUCAGUCGGUUGAGCUUCUGACUUUGGCUCAGGUCAUGAUCGCACAGUCUGUGGGUUUAAGCCCCGCGUCGGGCU
rfam:Felis catus isolate Cinnamon breed Abyssinian chromosome A2, whole genome shotgun sequence.